rnacentral:rRNA from 1 species
CCGUGGCCCUGCCACCUCUGAAGAUGACGAGAGUCGUCCGAGGGGAGUCUCCGCGGGAGGUAUACCGUAAACCCUUUGUAUUCCAUGUCAUCUGUCUGAACUGUUUAUAACAAAUGUUUAAAACUUUCAACAACGGAUCUCUUGGUUCUCGCAUCGAUGAAGAACGCAGCGAAAUGCGAUAAGUAGUGUGAAUUGCAGAAUUCAGUGAAUCAUCGAAUCUUUGAACGCACAUUGCGCCUCCUGGCAUUCCGGGAGGCAUGCCUGUUCGAGCGUCAUUAAAAACCACUCAAGCUCUUUUGCUUGGUCAUGGAAGAUGGGGGACCUCACGGUUCCCCCCUCCCGAAAUCCAAUGGCGGAAAUUCUCACGGUCCCGGCGUAGUAAUCCAAUCUUUCGUCUUGAAUGUGAGAGGCUCCUGCCCCAAACCCCCAACAUCAUUCUAGGUUGACCUCGGAUCAGGUAGGGAUACCCGCUGAACUUAA